AGACAGACGAGCCGUUGACCGGGCGAUCACGGGGGUCUCCCCGCGGUACCUGGUCCUCCCCAGCUCCACGAUGCAGCAGCCGUAGUCGGCCCCGAAGGAGAUUCGCACGUUCCUGUAGUCGUAGCUCUGCCGCCCGUCCAAGCGCUGCAAAGCCGAGAGCAGAGUCACUACCCGCGCGGGAGCCCGGCGACUCGACACAGUAAUUCUGAAAAUUUACAAGCAGGACAAUGCUAAUGACCGGUACUGAAGAAAUUACAAAACAGGGAUGUGUCAAUUGCUGGAGAGUUCACAAUAGGCUUUCACAGCUUUAAAAUGAAUCAAUGUGAUCAGAUUACAUCGAGUCCAGUAUUGAUGAAGAUGUGAGAAUGAGACCUCACUAUUUGAAGGAAAAAGAGCUAAAUGGGCGAGGAGAUCCAUGACUUUCUGCUCCUGGCAGAAGCGCAUCUAGUAGCUCCCUCUGUACAUGGAGCUGGCAUGCUAGGAUGCACACAAAUAAAGGAGAGCUGCUAGGUGUGCUUGCCAAGAUAGAUCUCAGCAGUUAAUAGGAACCAAUUUAGCCUCUGUGCAAAUUAAAGCUGCUCUCACUUAUAUAAUCGGGUAAUGGUUUCCAUGGGCCAUUUUGCUGUCUGAAGACCACUGGAGCACAGCUGGAGUUGGAGACACUUCCCUUGGCCACAUCUUACAUGGAAUGAGAUCCUUCCUGUGAUGGAGAGUCUUGCAAGACAUGAGACUCUUCAGUUGCCCAUUUAAGGCAUCUUACUGUGGUGUUAUGGGCCAGGAGCUGACCAAGUGAAUUUCCUGAGGUCUUUACUUGAAUAAGGACCCUGAGAUACAGUCCAAUGAUUUACUUUUUUGUUUGAGAGGCUAUAUUGGCUCUCCCUUUUUACAGUAUAAAAUCUACUGAAAACAAGAUUUGUGAAACAACUUCCGCCUUGAUUUGUGUCAUCUGGAGUCUGUGAGCUACAGAGGAACGAGUCAGUAAUGCAGUACCUUAGGUUUGAGUUUACUGAUCCAUAUCAUAGAGAUUGUACUUAAGUAUCUUCAUUUACAUAGGGUCAGUUGUUGGGCUAAAACAUUGCAGUAGUUCUGUGCUAUGACAAGUGGACAGCCACAAUCUUGUUCUUAUAACAAGGGCAAUUUUUUAAAAACCAUGAUCAUAGAUAGUAACACCCAUACACUACAUUUAUGCAACCCUUUUGUUUCACUAAAAGUGUUGCAAUGCUGAUGUACAUUUUUUUCUCAUUUUGUUGUUCUCAAGUGUUAGUUACAUAAAUUUACUUAGUAUUGAGUCUGCACACUCAUCAUAGGUGGCAGGUAUAAUAGGCCAGGGAAGGUGGGGUGCUGCUGCCGGCCUGCUGCCAGAUUCCUGGGCCCUGGUGGCCUCAGCCC